UUGGAGUACCAAGGACUGCCCUAUCAGGUGUGAGCCCUGGGCCCUGACCAUUUGCCCUUUGACUCUUUCCUGAGAUUAUGAAGACAUCAGGAUGAAGAAAGUUUUAGACUUAUGGGAGAGUUGCCAAGAGAGCAUGGAGUCCCUGUACCCUUCGCCCAGCUUACACUUAUGUUAACAUCUUAUGUAACCAAGGUAAAGAUAUCACAGGUUCCUCCUCCAUCACUUUCUUUUUCUGACGUUAUUUAUACCUUGAAGAGUCCACAUUUGACCUGGAGAAUUUUCCACAGCCUGGACUUUGUUUACAGCAUGCCCAUGGUGCACUUCAGUAGGUUCCUCCGUAUUUCCUGAAGAUUGGCAUCUGGAUUCAAGGACUGGAUCAGACUCAGCUUUGAGUCCUUUGGCAAAACCUAAAUUUGCUUUUAAUAGAGAACAAUCCUCCU